rnacentral:rRNA from 1 species
UAGGGAAUCUUCGGCAAUGGGGGGAACCCUGACCGAGCAACGCCGCGUGAGUGAAGAAGGUUUUCGGAUCGUAAAGCUCUGUUGUUAAGGAAGAACGAGUGUGAGAAUGGAAAGUUCAUACUGUGACGGUACUUAACCAGACAGGGACGGCUAACUACGUGCCAGCAGCCGCGGUAAUACGUAGGUCCCGAGCGUUUUCCGGAUUUAUUGGGCGUAAAGCGAGCGCAGGCGGUUAGAUAAGUCUGAAGUUAAAGGCAGUGGCUCAACCAUAGAAGGCUUUGGAAACUGUUUAACUUGAGUGCAGGAGGGGAGAGUGGAAUUCCAGGUGUAGCGGUGAAAUGCGUAGAUAUAUGGAGGAACACCAGUGGCGAAGGCGGCUCUCUGGGCUGUAACUGACGCUGAGGCUCGAAAGCGUGGGGAGCGAACAGG